rnacentral:rRNA from 1 species
UACGUAGGGUGCAAGCGUUAAUCGGAAUACUGGGCGUAAGCGUGACGCAGGCGGUUAUAUAAGACAGUUGUGAAAUCCCCGGGCUCAACCCUGGGAACUGCAUCUGUGACUGUAUAGCUAGAGUACGGUAGAGGGGGGGAUGGAAUUCCGCGUGUAGCAGUGAAAUGCGCAGAUAUCAGGAGGAACACCAAUGGCGAAGGCAGCUCGCUGGGACGGUACUGACGCUGAGCACGCGAAAGCGUGGGAGCAAACAGG